ACGAACGCUGGCGGCAUGCCUAACACAUGCAAGUCGUACGAGAAUCUAUCCGCAAGGGUGGAGGAAAGUGGCGCACGGGUGAGUAAUACAUAGAUAACCUAGCCUAUAGAUCCGGAUAAUCCUCUGAAAGGAGGGCUAAUACGGGAUAAGAAGUAGGGUCGAAUGGCCCAGCUUUAAAAGGCCGCGAGGUGCUGUGGGAGGGGUCUAUGCCCCAUUAGCUAGUUGGCGAGGUAAAAGCUCACCAAGGCGACGAUGGGUAGCGGGUCUGAGAGGAUAACCCGCCACACUGGCUCUGAGACACGGGCCAGACUCCUACGGGAGGCAGCAGUGAGGAAUCUUGCGCAAUGGGCGAAAGCCUGACGCAGCGAUGCCGCGUGAGCGAAGAAGGCCUUCGGGUCGUAAAGCUCUUUAUCUCAGGGAAGAUAAUGACGGUACCUGAGGAAUAAGCACCGGCUAACUACGU
rnacentral:rRNA from 1 species